AGUUAGCUGAUUUUUAUGAUUGUUUGAAUGUGGUGAUCUGGUUUUGGUAGAUCUGUGGAUGCUUUCAUUAUUUAUGCAUGUGAACUGAGGUUUGUGGAUUUGGAUGUUGAUUCUAUGGAUAUCGAAUUUUCUUGUAUUUACAUAUCGUGGUUUUCUACCCCUCGAGGUAGUUGAUUUUCAAAAUAGAGUUUUUGUGUGGGAAAUAGUUUUAAAAAGGUUUUCAAAUGGUUUUUCAUGAUGAAUGAAUUAGAGUUCAAAAAUAAAAGCUUCUGUGUGGGGAGCACUUUUAAAUAUGAUGAUUGUUGUACUGUGCAUUGCAUCAUCCAGCGCCUAAGGAGUGCUUAGAGGCAUGCAUCAUCUCUAAGGAUUGUUAGCUGUAUGAAAAUGCAUAUCAUUAUUUGGUUGUUAAUGGGUAAUUGUAGGUUGUGGUUGUGAUCCUGUUGUAUAGUUGGUACGCCGUGCAAAUACAAAAGAGACUCUGUUCAAGUGGACAGAUGAACUUUGUAUUUGUGGCGGGUCUGUACGUCACGUGGGCCAGGUUAAAAAAAAAAAAAAAAUUGCACGUCUUCUGCGACUCUGAGUUUUUAAAAUGGUAAU
rnacentral:lncRNA from 1 species